rnacentral:rRNA from 1 species
AGAAUAAACGCUGGCGGCGUGCUUAACACAUGCAAGUCGAGCGAGAAAGGUCUUCGGACUGAGUACAGCGGCGAACGGGUGAGUAACGCGUAGGAAUCUACCUUUUAGUGGAGAAUACUCCCGAGAAAUCGGGCUUAAUACUGCAUAAGUCUUGAAAGAGAGAAAGAUGGCCUCUUUGCUGUCGCUAAAAGAUGAGCCUGCGUACUAUUAGCUAGUUGGUAGGGUAAAGCCUACCAAGGCGAUGAUGGUUA